CCUACGGGAGGCAGCAGUAAGGAAUAUUGGUCAAUGGAGGCAACUCUGAACCAGCCAUGCCGCGUGCAGGAUGACGGCCCUAUGGGUUGUAAACUGCUUUAUUACAAGAGAAAACCCUACGGUACGUGUACCAGGUUGAUAGUAUUGUAAGAAUAAGCAUCGGCUAACUUCGUGCCAGCAGCCGCGGUAAGACGAAGGAUGCAAGCGUUAUCCGGAUUCAUUGGGUUUAAAGGGUGCGUAGGCGGACUGAUAAGUCAGUGGUGAAAUCUCUUUGCCUAACAAAGAAACUGCCAUUGAUACUGUCGGUCUAGAGUAUAGAUGACGUUGGCGGAAUAUGACAUGUAGUGGUGAAAUACUUAGAUAUGU
rnacentral:rRNA from 1 species